GAUGAACGCUGGCGGCGUGCCUAAUACAUGCAAGUCGAGCGAACAGACGAGUAGCUUGCUCCUCUGACGUUAGCGGCGGACGGGUGAGUAACACGUGGAUAACCUACCUAUAAGACUGGGAUAACUUCGGGAAACCGGAGCUAAUACCGGAUAAUAUAUUGAACCGCAUGGUUCAAUAGUGAAAGACGGUUUUGCUGUCACUUAUAGAUGGAUCCGCGCCGCAUUAGCUAGUUGGUAAGGUAACGGCUUACCAAGGCAACGAUGCGUAGCCGACCUGAGAGGGUGAUCGGCCACACUGGAACUGAGACACGGUCCAGACUCCUACGGGAGGCAGCAGUAGGGAAUCUUCCGCAAUGGGCGAAAGCCUGACGGAGCAACGCCGCGUGAGUGAUGAAGGUCUUCGGAUCGUAAAACUCUGUUAUUAGGGAAGAACAAAUGUGUAAGUAACUAUGCACGUCUUGACGGUACCUAAUCAGAAAGCCACGGCUAACUACGUG
rnacentral:rRNA from 1 species